GUGCAUGGCCGUUCUUAGUUGGUGGAGUGAUUUGUCUGGUUAAUUCCGAUAACGAACGAGACUCUAGCCUACUAAAUAGACUUGCAGUUUACACUGCAGUACUCCCCCUUAGUCAACCUGUGGGUGGUAGUAUCUCUUGAUGGUUUCGGCUGUUGAGGGCUCUGCUGCUAUUAGCCUACAGAAUUGGCUAGGGUAAGGAUGCUGUAGCACUGUAAGGACUUCUUAGAGGGACAAGCGGCGCUCGCAGCCGCACGAAACAGGGCAAUAACAGGUCUGUGAUGCCCUUAGAUGCCCUGGCCCGCCCGCGCUCUAC
rnacentral:ncRNA from 1 species